GCCGGGAUAGCUCAGUUGGAAGACA
rnacentral:tRNA from 1 species